CCUACGGGAGGCAGCAGUGAGGAAUAUUGGGCAAUGGACGCAAGUCUGACCCAGCAACGCCGCGUGAAGGAAGAAGGCUUUCGGGUUGUAAACUUCUUUUAAGGGGGAAGAGCAGAAGACGGUACCCCUUGAAUAAGCCACGGCUAACUACGUGCCAGCAGCCGCGGUAAUACGUAGGUGGCAAGCGAUGUCCGGAUUUACUGGGUGUAAAGGGCGUGCAGCCGGAGAGACAAGUCAGAUGUGAAAUCCACGGGCUCAACCCGUGAACUGCAUUUGAAACUGUUUCCCUUGAGUGUCGGAGAGGUAAGCGGAAUGCCUGGUGUAGCGGUGAAAUGCGUAGAUAUAAGGCAGAACACCAGUGGCGAAGGCAGAUUACUGGGCGACAACUGACGGUGAGGCGCGAAAGCGUGGGGAGCAAACAGGAUUAGAUACCCGUGUAGUC
rnacentral:rRNA from 1 species